rnacentral:lncRNA from 1 species
AAAUCCUGGAACUGUGCUUUUUACUGACUUCCUGCUUCCCAGAUUGGGGGUGGGGAGUCUUUCCAACUCUGAGGUCUUCCCAAGUUCACUCCUUCUGCAGGUGAAGAUAGUCCCACUUAGGAUCCUUACCUGACACUGUCAUUUAACGCUCUCAGGGGUGAGGUUCUGGCACCCUGUACUUGGAAUCUCACAACCGUCCUUAUCCAAACAAAAUACCUGUUACCUUACUUCAGAGGCUGGCAUUCUUUCAAACAUUCUUCUUUCUCAUUUUUAGCCUCCUUCUGAAGAAAUAAAAACAGGUGAGGAUGAAGAUGAGGAAGAUAAUGAUGCUCUACUGAAGGAAAAUGAAAGUCCUGAUGUUCGGCGAGACAAACCUGUAACAGGAGAACAAAUAGAGGUAUUUGCCAACAAGCUGGGUGAACAAUGGAAGAUUCUGGCUCCCUACUUGGAAAUGAAAGACUCAGAAAUUAGGCAGAUUGAGUGUGACAGUGAAGACAUGAAGAUGAGAGCUAAGCAGCUCCUGGUUGCCUGGCAAGAUCAAGAGGGAGUUCAUGCAACACCUGAGAAUCUGAUUAAUGCACUGAAUAAGUCUGGAUUAAGUGACCUUGCAGAAAGUCUAACUAAUGACAAUGAGACAAAUAGUUAGCUUCUUUUUUUUUUCUUUUUAUUAAAACUGUGAUAGAUUUUGUUACCAAGCAGCAUUUGAUAAGAGGUCCACUGGUUUUGGUAAACAAUAAACAUUUUUAUAACA